UACAGAGGGUGCGAGCGUUGUCCGGAAUCACUGGGCGUAAAGGGCGCGUAGGCGGCUUUCCGCGCGUGCGGUGAAAGCCCGGGGCUCAACUCCGGGUCGGCCGUGCGGACGGGGGAGCUAGAGUCUGGUAGAGGCUGAUGGAAUUCCGGGUGUAGCGGUGGAAUGCGUAGAGAUCCGGAAGAACACCGGUGGCGAAGGCGGUCAGCUGGGCCAGCAACUUCGGUUGGCCUGUCGCAAGACAGGUACUGACGCUGAGGCGCGACAGCGUGGGGAGCAAACAGG
rnacentral:rRNA from 2 species